UCGGUUAUGAGCUUAAAAGCAGCUUAAUUUCGGCUUAAGAGAAGGGUAAAGUAG
rnacentral:tRNA from 1 species